rnacentral:rRNA from 1 species
GUCGGGAGCUAAGGUGAGGCCUAACGGCGUAGCCGAUGCACAGACGGUAAAGAUUCCGUCACCACCAAAAGAGUUAAACACAGGGACACAUUUGAAGUCUCGGAGCCGGGUGUUGGUUCCGGUAGCGAUCGAGGGAAAUUAGUACCGAAGUCCGGGAUGGAAGAUGGCGAGAAAAGCUGUGUGUAUUUCUGCGGUGUCCGUACCGCAAACCGACACAGGUAGGUAGGAAGAAGAUUCUAAGGCCAACGGGAGAAGGGUUGUUAAGGAACUCGGCAAAUUGACCCCGUAACUUCGGGAGAAGGGGUGCUCCAGAGAUGGAGCCGCAGAGAAUCGGCCCAAGCAACUGUUUACCAAAAACACAGGUUUGUGCUAAAUCGAAAGAUGACGUAUACGAGCUGACGCCUGCCCGGUGCUGGAAGGUUAAGAGGAGAUGUGCAAGCAUUGAAUCGAAGCCCCAGUGAACGGCGGCCGUAACAAUAACGGUCCUAAGGUAGCGAAAUUCCUUGUCAGGUAAGUUCUGACCCGCAUGAAAGGCGUAAUGAUUUGGGCACUGUCUCGACAGCCCGCCCGGCGAAAUUGUAGUACCGGUGAAGAUGCCGGUUACCCGCGACAAGACGGAAAGACCCCAUGGAGCUUUACUGUAGCCUAAUAUUGGGUUUCGAUGUUGCAUGCACAGGAUAGAUGGGACACUAGGAAGCAAGUGCUUUGGCAUUUGUGGAGUGGCCGUUGGGAUACCAUCCUUGCGAUAUUGGAAUUCUAACCUGCGCCUUUGAAUCAAGGCGGGGGACAUUGUUAGGUGGGCAGUUUGACUGGGGCGGUCGCCUCCUAAAGAGUAACGGAGGCGUUCAAAGGUUCGCUCAGCUUGAACGGAAAUCAAGCAAAAGAGUGCAAACGCAGAAGCGAGCCUAACUGCGAGACUGACGGGUCGAGCAGUAACGAAAGUUGGAGUUAGUGAUCCGGUGGUAUGUGAGUGGAAAUGCCAUCGCUCAACGGAUAAAAGUUACCCUGGGGAUAACAGGCUGAUCUCCCCAAGAGUCCACAUCGACGGGGAGGUUUGGCACCUCGAUGUCGGCUCAUCGCAUCCUGGGGCUGUAUUCGGUCCCAAGGGUUUGGCUGUUCGCCAAUUAAAGCGGUACGCGAGCUGGGUUCAGAACGUCGUGAGACAGUUCGGUCCCUAUCUGUCGUGGGCGCAGGAUAUUUGAUGGGAGCUGUUCCUGGUACGAGAGGACCGGAGCGGACGUACCUCUGGCGCACCAGUUGUUCUGCCAAGGGCAUAGCUGGGCAACUAUGUACGGAUCGGAUAAACGCUGAAAGCAUCUAAGCGUGAAGCCGACCCAAAGAUAAGAUAUCCCAUUGUUUUAAACAAGUAAGACCCCUUGAAGACUACAAGGUUGAUAGGCUUGAUGUGUAAGUGGAGUGAUCCAUUCAGCAAGCAUGUACUAAUAGGUCGAGGGCUUGACC